CUCAUCUUCACCAUCGUGGUGGACCUGCUGGGCAACCUCCUGGUCAUCCUCUCGGUGUACCGCAACAAGAAGCUGCGGAACGCGGAGCUGUAAUUAUAAAGAAACUUUUGACUUUACGAACUUUACAACAUCCUAUGUUAAUAAGUCUUGCUGGCACACUUAUUGAGGAUAAAGAACUCAGGAUGAAAAUUCCACUGGAGAAAGGUCAGGGAGGAACUGAAGAUACCUCCUGAAGAAAAUAUCUCAUUGAAGACUGUCUUCUUUCUUUGCAAGAAAGGACUAACAGAAAUGAGGAUUAUUUAAUACUUUGUCAAAAAGGUGGAUUUGGUGGGGGAAUUCAUCUUUGCAUCUCUAUUAGAAAAAUAUAUUUGGAAGAUUUCUUCAGAUUGAACCUGUGGAUGUAUGAUUAGAAAAAAAAAAGGCACUGGGAAAUAGUAGGAAGGACUAGAAAAAACCUUCUCUACAAGUGAUAUAACCUUCUUGACAGUCAGAAGGUUAGUAAAAGACACUGAUCAAAGCAGAGGAGUCAGUAUCUCAAAGAAGUUUGUCUCAGCAAGCGAGGAGUUUCUGAUACUACAGACUCCUUCAUAGUCACAAGCAUGGCUUCAGUAGAUGCUCUUCUAGACAAAGAAGCUGAUGAUGCAACUGGUAUCCUUGGACUUAUUUUUGUGUCCUGAGAGAAAAUGGGUAGCCUGACAAGUAUUUGACUCAAGAGAUAACUUACAGAAGAUCAAGUUGUAGCACAAAUUCAGGGUUCUGAUGAAAACUGAGAUGCUGAUGGCAUUAUUUGAGACAUGAAUAACUUCAGGUAUUAAAAAAUGGAGGAUGAAUGUUGCUAAGAAUUCUUCAGGAUAAGAGAACACAACUUUAUGAAUGCUUGCUUAUUUGAUGGAAAAAAAAUUAAUGUAUAGCUAAAAAUGCUUGAGACAGUAAUACUGCUACUUGAAGUUCUUUUUCAAAAUCUUCUGAAGUCACAGAGGCAGUAUUACAGCUGAGCAGGACAAGUAAGGUUCCUCCCUUACUAUAGGUUCUUAUUAUCCUCUUUCCUCCAUUAGUUUUAAGGAUGGAUAUGACAUACCACACCAAUACAUGCCUUAAAGCUUUGAAUUAAUAUGGUAAGCAUGCUGCACACUUCUUAACCUAUUCUACAAGUUGAUCCAAAACUGAGGUGUAAUCAGCAAGUCUGUUUAUAACUCUAUGAAACUGUGACUUCUGUUGUUUCUAAAUGGUUCUGUAGUAAUAAAUGAGCAAUAAAUGUACAAAGCUUCAUGUUCUAUAGAUUUUUUUUUAAAAAACCACAUUCAUUACCAUUAAAGCGAAGGCAAACUUUCCUUGAAGAAACACCUUGCACCAGAAGUAAAAUAUUCCAGACUCAUUCUUCUUACUUUAUAAAUGACCUAGCAAAGUACCAAGCCAUGCAGUAAUCUAAUUAUAGAAGAAUACUUAUUACCUUAUGGACUUUGUGCUAGUUGGGCAGGAUAUGUAACUAUUCCAUUUAGUUUAGUGGAAAUACCAUUCUACACGAUCUACUUAUGUUUCAGCAAAAACAUACAAGCAAAAUAUAAGUUCUAGUUAUCACACUGAGUUUGCUUUUUUUGAGGUGCAGAUGCAAGGUUAACGAAACUAACUGCUUCUCAGUUAGCCCCUGUGCUGGCAAAGGUCAGUUCUUCUCUUGUUGGAUUGAUAAUGUGUGAGAUCAGUAACAUUGCUUUUGUUAGUAGCCCACUCCUGCUGAACCUGAGUAUCAGUUUAGUGUUUCAGUGCAACAGUUAGUACUAUCAUGUUAUCUAGAUGAGACAGCAGAUUAUGUAGCCACGGGCCAAAGUAAUGAAUGGGCAUGAAUACAGGAACCAGUUUUGAAAAGUGGUAUCCAGUUACUCGAUGGAGAAGUUCCAUUAGCUGUGUCUUGAACACUUCUGGGGGGGAAAAGCACGGAUGUUCUUCUUUUACUGAAAAUUUGGGAGCUCUGUAUUAUGAAAUACUGAUGUCUACAUAAAUGUGAAUGAACUGGUAACUUGUAUUUUUAUUUUAUUUUCAGUGAAGAACUAAUUGCCUAUAAAUAAAAAAAAUCCUGUUUUUAUUAACAGCUUAUGUGUAUUUCUCACCUUUGUGAGAAGGGUAUUAUGAAUACCUAAAUGUAUUUUGUAUAAAUGUCUUAUGCUUACUAAAUAUAUUAUGCAUAGCAUUGCUUAGCAUCUCUCUAUUCUUUUAAUAAAGAGGGAGA